AGAGUUGAUCCUGGCUCAGGACGAACGCUGGCGGCGUGCCUAAUACAUGCAAGUAGAGCGCUGAAGAGAGGAGCUUGCUCUUCUUGGAUGAGUUACGAACGGGUGAGUAACGCGUAGGUAACCUGCCUUGUAGCGGGGGAUAACUAUUGGAAACGAUAGCUAAUACCGCAUAACAAUGGAUGACACAUGUCAUUUAUUUGAAAGGGGCAAUUGCACCACUACAAGAUGGACCUGCGUUGUAUUAGCUAGUAGGUGAGGUAAUGGCUCACCUAGGCGACGAUACAUAGCCGACCUGAGAGGGUGAUCGGCCACACUGGGACUGAGACACGGCCCAGACUCCUACGGGAGGCAGCAGUAGGGAAUCUUCGGCAAUGGGGGCAACCCUGACCGAGCAACGCCGCGUGAGUGAAGAAGGUUUUCGGAUCGUAAAGCUCUGUUGUAAGUCAAGAACGGGUGUGAGAGUGGAAAGUUCACACUGUGACGGUAGCUUACCAGAAAGGGACGGCUAACUACGUGCCAGCAGCCGCGGUAAUACGUAGGUCCCGAGCGUUGUCCGGAUUUAUUGGGCGUAAAGCGAGCGCAGGCGGUUUGAUAAGUCUGAAGUUAAAGGCUGUGGCUCGACCAUAGUUCGCUUUGGAAACUGUCAAACUUGAGUGCAGAAGGGGAGAGUGGAAUUCCAUGUGUAGCGGUGAAAUGCGUAGAUAUAUGGAGGAACACCGGUGGCGAAAGCGGCUCUCUGGUCUGUAACUGACGCUGANGCUCGAAAGCGUGGGGAGCGAACAGGAUUAGAUACCCUGGUAGUCCACGCCGUAAACGAUGAGUGCUAGGUGUUGGAUCCU
rnacentral:rRNA from 1 species